UACAGAGGGUGCGAGCGUUGUUCGGAAUUACUGGGCGUAAAGCGCGCGCAGGCGGCCCUUUAAGUCCGUCGGUCAAAUGCCGGGGCUCAACCCCGUUGCAUGCCGAGGGUACUGGAGGGCUGGAGACACGUAGAGGCAAGCGGAAUUCCGGGUGUAGCGGUGGAAUGCGUAGAGAUCCGGAAGAACACCGGAGGCGAAGGCGGCUUGCUGGGCGUGAUCUGACGCUGAGGCGCGAAAGCGUGGGGAGCGAACAGG
rnacentral:rRNA from 1 species